rnacentral:rRNA from 1 species
AGGACGAACGCUGGCGGCGUGCUUAACACAUGCAAGUCGAACGGUAAGGCCCUUCGGGGUACACGAGUGGCGAACGGGUGAGUAACGCGUGAGUAACCUGCCCUUGACUCUGGGAUAACAGAUGGAAACGUCUGCUAAUACCGGAUACUCAGCCUUGUGGGCAUCCACAGGGUUGGAAAGCUCCGGCGGUCAAGGAUGGACUCGCGUCCUAUCAGCUAGUUGGUGGGGUAAUGGCCUACCAAGGCGACGACGGGUAGCCGGCCUGAGAGGGCGACCGGCCACAUUGGGACUGAGAUACGGCCCAGACUCCUACGGGAGGCAGCAGUGGGGAAUAUUGCACAAUGGGCGCAAGCCUGAUGCAGCAACGCCGCGUGCGGGAUGACGGCCUUCGGGUUGUAAACCGCUUUCAGCAGGGACGAAGCGCAAGUGACGGUACCUGCAGAAGAAGCACCGGCUAACUACGUG